GACGUAGGUGGCGAACGUUAUCCGGAAUUAUUGGGCGUAAAGGGUGCGUAGGCGGCAUGAUAAGUUAUUGGCGGGAAAUCGAGGCUCAACCUCGUGGAAACUAAUAAUACUGUUUUGCUUGAGUACAGGAGAGGUUAACGGAACUCCAUGUGGAGCGGUAAAAUGCGUAGAUAUUAGAAAGAACACCAGUGGCGAAGGCGACUUCCUGGACCAAUACUGACACUGAGGUGCGAAAGCGUGGGGAGCAAACAGG
rnacentral:rRNA from 1 species